rnacentral:rRNA from 1 species
GAUGAACGCUGGCGGCGUGCCUAAUACAUGCAAGUCGAGCGAACAGAUGAGGAGCUUGCUCCACUGACGUUAGCGGCGGACGGGUGAGUAACACGUGGAUAACCUACCUAUAAGACUGGGAUAACUUCGGGAAACCGGAGCUAAUACCGGAUAAUAUAUUGAACCGCAUGGUUCAAUAGUGAAAGUCGGUUUUGCUGUCACUUAUAGAUGGAUCCGCGCCGCAUUAGCUAGUUGGUAAGGUAACGGCUUACCAAGGCGACGAUGCGUAGCCGACCUGAGAGGGUGAUCGGCCACACUGGAACUGAGACACGGUCCAGACUCCUACGGGAGGCAGCAGUAGGGAAUCUUCCGCAAUGGGCGAAAGCCUGACGGAGCAACGCCGCGUGAGUGAUGAAGGUCUUCGGAUCGUAAAACUCUGUUAGUAGGGAAGAACAAAUGUCUAAGUAACUAUGCACGUCUUGACGGUACCUGAACAGAAAGCAACGGCUAACUACGUG